CAAAAUUCAGAAUAAUUGGAUCAAAUUUUCUUUCAAUUCUUUUCUGUGGUUGCAUAAUUAAGGACCAAUUACGACGAUGAAAUACGGAAGUGAAUGAUGAAGGAGAGAACUGGAGCGUGAAACAGAGACAUCUGUUCUUUCUUAGAUGAGUUUUGUUGAAGAGAAACAGAAUAUUGGUGACAGAUGAACCUACGGCUUCCACUGAUUCAGCCACUGAUGCUAUCUUUUUGAGGACUAUGCUAUUUGGGGUAGUGAAACAAAGGGCAUCCAUGACUUUCACCAAGAUGUUGGCAGAAACGAACCAGCCAUGCCUUGCUCUUUUGCUCAUAUGCUGAGUAUGCUGAUGUCGAUACAGGUCCCCAAAAUAAUAUGUUUUCUACAGAACAGUGUUUCAGCCUAGAGAUCACAGUUACUCACAUAUAAGCAUCUCGAGGGUUUGAUUGUAGUCAAAAGAUCACAGUCACUAUCUUCAUAUUUCGCAAUGACUUCUUGGUUGCAUUCAUCUUCUGUUUAAGUUGCUGCUUUCGAUCUCUUGAUUCUCCCAUGUGUUAUACUAAGUGUUUCAUAAUCUGGAAUCUCCUUGUAGUGCAGAGACAAGAGUAUUUUUUUUUUUUUUAUCAGGUUCUCAAACAAGGUGAUGUAUGCAACUGUGUACUUUUCUGCUUUCGAUCUUAUGAUUCU